rnacentral:lncRNA from 1 species
GAUAUUUUCCCAUGGGAUCCCCCAUCUCCAUCCUCCCCAGGGCUUCAGGGAUGGAAUUAUUUCUGUCAGAGUGGUUUUUUCGGGGAUAACCAGGGUAUUUUCCCUUGAGAUCCCCAUUUCCAUCCUCCCGAAGGCUUCAGGGAUGGAAUUGUUCCUCCUGGGAAGGUAUUUUGGGGAAAAUUCAGGAUGUUUUCCCAUGGGAUCCCCAUUUCCAUCCUCUCCAAGGCUCCAGGAUGGAAUUGUUCCUGCUGGGAAGGAAUUUUGGGGGAAAUCUGGGAUAUUUUCCCAUGGGAUCUCCAUCUCCAUCCUCCCCAGGGCUCCAGGGAUGGAAUUAUUCCUCCUGGAAUGGUAUUUGGGGAAAUUUGGGAUCUUUUCCCAUGGAAUCUCCAUCUCCAUCCUCCCCAAGGCUCCAGGGGUGGAAUUAUUCCCCUCAGGGAGGCUUUUUUGGGAUAUUUUCCCCUUGGAUCCCCAUCUCCAUCCUCACCGGGACUCUGGGAAUGGAACUGUUCCCUCGGGGAGGAACUUUGGGGACAAUUAUCCCCCAGGAUCCGCAUUCCCAUCCUCACCAGGACUCCGGGGAUGGAAUCUUUUCCCUCAGAGAGAAAUCCGGGAUGUUACAACGCUCCUCCAUCCUUCCCUCCACACCCCUUCCCACCACCGCCCUCACUCCUGGGACACUCCCGGAAUUCCCUGGGAUACCCCGGGGGUCACCUCUGUCACCACCACCCCAGCAGGGAAGCAGAACUUCCCUCCUUUCCCAUUCCCACCGUUCCAGGAUGGAAUUUUCCCCUCCCAGCACCCAAAGCCCCUCCAGGGGACACGGUGGGGACACAGAGGGGACACAGGGGGGACCCUCCUGGAGCGCUGGAGGUGGCAGGGGGGGAAUUUGGGAAGUUCCAUCACCUUUCCAGAGAGGGGAAAAAAAAAAUCCAUGGAUUUCUGAUCCUCGAGCUGUACAUCUGUCAGAUUCCUGAGGAUAUUUAUGACCAACGGCGCUGUCCGUGGAAUUCCAGGAAUAUCCGUCGGAGAGGAGGCUCGGGGGACACUUCCUGACGAUUCCAGGGAGGAAUUUCUGCAUCUUCCUCACCCAGGGGUGCCCGAUUCCCCGAUUCCCGCCGGGAAGGGUUCCCUGGUUCUCAUGCCAAAGCCAAUGUGUCCCGCGGGGUUCCAUUCCUUGGAGAGAGAAAUAAAGGAUUUUUGGAAACUUGGGAGUGUCUGGAA